rnacentral:tRNA from 4 species
UUAUUCAACUACAAGAACCUA